AGUGCUGGCCAGCUCCCUGGCAAGUGCACGUUGGCGGCCUUUCAUCCAACCCCCUGUGCACCCUUGGCCUCUUGCUAGCUUCGGCAAGCAGAGGAUUUUUAUACCAACUCGAAUGUAAUGAAAUUAUUGUCGUGCGCAAGCACUAAUGUACAACUUUCAACAACGGAUCUCUUGGCUCUCGCAUCGAUGAAGAACGCAGCGAAAUGCGAUAAGUAAUGUGAAUUGCAGAAUUCAGUGAAUCAUCGAAUCUUUGAACGCACCUUGCACCCUUUGGCAUUCCGAAGGGUAUGCUCGUUUGAGUGUCAUUGUACUCUCACACUUCUGAUCCUUUGGUGGAUCCGGAGCGGUGGACUUGGGUGUUGCUGCUUUACUGUGGCUCACCUCAAAUGCAUUCGUGCACCUCUUGGUUGGACAUAGUACGGCGUGAUAAGUGUCUUCGCCGGCACCUCGUUAAGAGGGUGGCCGAUCGGGAGCUCUGUGCUUCAAACCGUCUUCGGACAACAACUGACAACUUGACCUCAAAUCGAGUAGGACCACCCGCUGAACUUAAGCAUAUCAAUAAGCGGAGGAAAAGAAACUAACAAGGAUUCCCCUAGUAACGGCGAGUGAAGAGGGAAGAGCUCAAAUUUUAAAUCUGGCGUCUCUGGCGUCCGAAUUGUAAUCUAGAGAAGUG
rnacentral:rRNA from 1 species